UGGGAUGUAGCUCAGGUGGUGAGAGCGGCGACCUUAUAAGCCGCGUCUGUCGCGGGUUCGAAUCCCGUCAUCCCGA
rnacentral:tRNA from 1 species